rnacentral:rRNA from 1 species
GACGAGGGGUCCAAGCGUUGUUCGGAAUCAUUGGGCGUAAAGCGGGUGUAGGCGGCUCUAUAAGUCAGGAGUGAAAGCCCCAAGCUUAACUUGGGAAGUGCUUUUGAUACUGCAGAGCUUGAAUGUGGGAGAGGGUAGUGGAAUCCAGGUGUAGUGGUGAAAUACGUAGGAUAUCUGGAGGAACACCGGUGGCGAAGGCGAG